AUUGUAGAAAAAACUAAUCGGUGCCCUUUAUUUUAAUUUUUCAUUCUAAUCUAUCUACUCCUCUCAUUCUCGCUCAAAAAUGUUCUCUCAGCAUGAGUUUAGAUUCUUUAAUCCAUGGAGUGCAAAACAAGGCUGUUGGGUUGUCACUUCCACUUCAUAGAUCUACUUCGAUCUUUGAUUGUUCUUUGAAAGCGAAAGACGGGGUGAUCUCUUAGCUACUACCAGAGAAGGGAGGAAAUGUAUCAGAAGCACAAGCGUCUCAUCAUAAAGACAGAAAGGGACCUUCAAACCAUUAACGAAUAAAACUAGCAAAGCUGAAAGGCGCACUUUACAGGAGGUCACAGAGGUUCCAAAUCUACAUAAAAGAUUCAGACUUUGUCAUUCAUGUGUGUGUAUGUGUGUGUGUGUGUGUGUGUGUGUGUGAGAGAGAGUUGGGGGAGGGGUUAGUCACUAGUUUGAAUUUCUGUCAACUAUCACGCUUAAUGAAAAUUUAUGGAUAUACUAUCAACAAUUUGAGGAGCAACGAACAAACACAAAGUUUGAUUGAUGAGAGAAUUAAGGUAUUAGUGGCCAACCUAUGCAGUGUGGAGACCUGGUGUUAAACCACCUAUUCUUCCUGCAUCAUUGCUGAUUCCAGGUUCCCUUCCCCUAAAGCUAAAAUGGGUCCAAGGAUCAGAUAAGGCUACCUAUUUUCCUAGACUUCCUGAUUUUUGGGUCAGGUGCUAAGGUUCUCUUUCUAUGCUCAAGGUACUCGAAUUUCCAGUCAGAAGCAAGAUCCAGAUGGCAGAUUUUGAGAAAGCUAGACAAACAAGGAUAGAACAAAAUAGAAGCCAGACAAACAAAGAUAGAACAAAAUAAAAGCAACCAGGGAUAUGUUCACUAAGGGGAAAGAGCAACAAACCAAUAAUUCCCGAUGAGUUUUUAAAGCCCUAUAAAGACCAAAUUGUGAAAGAAACUGUAGCAGAAUUAAUGAAGACACUCAAGCAAAUUCAUCUGGAAGUGUUGGAUACUUUGACUCGAUCACUUGAAAAUGUGUCAUCCAAUCCAGAACUUACAGAUCAUAUUCCGAUUGUACACUCUAAUGAAUAGGAGCGAAAUGAGGUAAUGGUUAAUAGUUUAAUAUAUAAUCUUUUAAAAAGCAUCAACUCUUAUUAUUGCGUUAUUUCAUUUUUGUUCUGGUUGUUUGAUAUAUGAUGCUUUCACACAUAAGAUCAAUUGGAUCAAGAUGAAGAAUCGGGAUAGCAAUUUAUGAUGCUAGAAGAACUCUACUUACUUUUACCGUUGUUUUGCUGAUGCUACCGCUGUUUUGCUGCUGUCUUUUACUGUUACUACUGCUACUGUUGUCUGAUAUGUUGCUGACUCUUGCUCAUUCGAUUUGCUGCCACUGCUCUGUUACUGCUGGUACCAACUGAUGUCUGCUACUGCUGGAAGCUUCCACUACUAUCUGCUACUGCUGGUUGCUGGUUGCUGCUAAAGACUACUGAUGGCAGCAACUGUUACUGCUUCUGAUGUUCGGGUAGCUAGCUGUGUAGCUGUUGCUAUACGCUGUUAUUAUUAAUGCUCUUUACUGUUAUUGCUGUCUUUUUUGAAAUUUGGAAGUUUUUUUGUUUUUCCUUACUUUUUCCAAGCUAGAGAUCGAACUUAAUAUUCUUUGUGUUUGGAUUAUUAUAUUGUUUGGCCAAACAUUAAAAUUGGCGUUUAUGGAUUUUUUUUGUGAGAAUUAUGAAAGUAUUUCAAUCCAAAUUGUUUUCUAUCA